UAGCCAUGAUGUAGACAUGAAUUCGUGAGGUCCUUAAACCUCUCCCAGCAUUGGAAGAAGGUUUCUUCCGCUUUUUGGGUAAAGUUCAUGAUUGCCUUUCUUAAAGUGU